rnacentral:rRNA from 1 species
GACGAACGCUGGCGGCGUGCUUAACACAUGCAAGUCGAGCGAUGAAGUUUCUUCGGAAAUGGAUUAGCGGCGAACGGGUGAGGAACACGUGAAGAAUCUGCCCUCCACUUUGGGAUAACACCGGGAAACCGGUGCUAAUACCGAAUAUUGAAACAUAAGUGGCAUCACUGAGUUUUGAAAGAAUUUCGGUGGAGGAUGACUUCGCGGCCUAUCAGCUAGUUGGUGAGGUAAUGGCUCACCAAGGCAACGACGGGUAGCCGGCCUGAGAGGGCGACCGGCCACACUGGGACUGAGACACGGCCCAGACUCCUACGGGAGGCAGCAGUGGGGAAUAUUGGGCAAUGGAGGAAACUCUGACCCAGCGACGCCGCGUGCGGGAUGAAGGCCUUCGGUGUAACCGCUUCAGUAGGAAGAAGCGAAAGUGACGGUACCUACAAAAGAAGCACCGGCUAACUAUAGUGCCAGCAGCCGC